rnacentral:rRNA from 1 species
AUUGAACGCUGGCGGCAUGCUUUACACAUGCAAGUCGAACGGUAACAGGCCUUCGGGUGCUGACGAGUGGCGAACGGGUGAGUAAUGCAUCGGAACGUACCCAGAGGUGGGGGAUAACGCAGCGAAAGCUGUGCUAAUACCGCAUGUGAUCUGAGGAUGAAAGCGGGGGACCGAGCAGCAAUGUUUGGCCUCGCGCCUUUGGAGCGGCCGAUGUCGGAUUAGCUAGUUGGUGGGGUAAAGGCCUACCAAGGCGACGAUCCGUAGCUGGUCUGAGAGGACGAACAGCCACACUGGGACUGAGGCACGGCCCCGACUCCUACGGGAGGCAGCAGUGGGGAAUUUUGGACAAUGGGCGCAAGCCUGAUCCAGCAAUGCCGCGUGCGGGAAGAAGGCCUUCGGGUUGUAAACCGCUUUUGGCAGGAACGAAACGGUGUCCGCUAAUACCGGGCGCUAAUGACGGUACCUGCAGAAUAAGCACCGGCUAACUACGUG